AUCACACUUGGUAAAGCAUUGAAUAAUGGAUAUGGUUAACAAUAAUCAUAUAGUAACAAAGUCUGAGAUCACCAAGUGGGAAAAGGGGGGACAACCCUCAAGUUCACAUGCCAAAGCAAAAGGUUAACCAUGAAACAAAAACCCUUUAAUGCAACUAUGCCGGCACCUAAGGGGUCCAUGCUCCCUUAGGAUGACGGUGGAAUCUGAUUGACUAUAGAGAUCUUCUAGCAUCAAUUCCGUCCGAUUCACGAUGUAAAACACCUCUGAAAAACUAAGCUAAAUGGCUUUAACAACUGUAUCACGAGUUUGGACUUGAAUCAAACAGAUAAUAUUAACAGAAAGUGUACCAAUUAAGAAUUGAAUGCUAUGCAGCAGAAAUUGCAGCAUAGCCUUUCUCCUCGAGAACUUCAGCUAAGGAGCUAUCUCCUGUCUUUAUGAUUCUUCCAUCCUCCUGAAAAUCUCAAAGAAAAACAUGUUCUGAAUGGGAACAAAGACAUUUUUUUUUUAUCAUAGAAUAACAAAUUCCUUUAGUAAUAUGCCAAAUAGAUAGGCACUAGAAUACUGUAUGGAACACAAGAUGAAACCUGAAAUAUAUAAAAGUUAGAAAUGGUGACUCAAAAAACAGCAAAGAACAAAGGAUAUUAGGACAUCCAGAAAUCUGGUUAAAGCAAAAAAAAGCAAUGAACUCUGUUAAGCUGAGCAAAACAAAGUACUAAACUUUAUUUUGUUUGAUACUGUUUCAAAAUGCUCCUAAUGCCUAAUUAAAGCUUACAAAGAUGAUUAAUGGUACAUGACCUAUAAAUCAAAACUGGAUAGACUAGUCCAUUAGGGCAUACUUUAUUAACAGUAAUUAGAAACAGAAAAGACAGGUGAAACUAUGAAACAUAAGUUAACUUGCUGAUCUCUUGAAAUCAUGAAUGUGGACCAAUGUACACAUAGUUUAUAGUUCAGCCAAGAUCUCUGUUGCUUACUAUUAGUUAGUUACUGCAUGUUAGAGCUCGAUAUCUUUCUAAUACUUUAAAGAGUGUCAAAAAGGACCAACUAUACAUGUGACCAUGAAAAGAGCUUUAUGUUUCAAUAAGGGAGUUUCCAGGGUGAAGCUGCAUUCUCUACUUUUCCACGGAAAAUGAAAUCAAUAAUGCACAGAAUAUCCGCAAGAUCAAUGUUUUCAAAAUUUUAAAUGACUCACCAUAAUAUGGAUGCAUGUCGGUUUUAUAACCUCCAACAGCCGUCGAUAAUGAGUGAUAAUCAAAACAGAGUUCUUUGGAGUCAAAAGUCCAUUCACUGCUUUUGCUACAUCUCGAAGGGCAUCAACAUCUAAGCCAGAAUCAAUUUCAUCUAGCAUAGCCAAGUCUGCCCCAAGAACCUAUAACAUUAAAGAAGUAAAUAUAGAGAUGAGAAAAAAAUUUUAAUUUUCUUAGCUUCUAUGCAUUCAUAAAACCCACAAAGCAAACACUCCCAACCCCCAUCUUUUCCCCCUUCUUCUAAUAAACCAAAAAUAUUUAGAAAAAUAAACAGCAAAUCAAAGAAUGAUCAUAAUCAAGUUACAGCUCAUCCCUUUUUAAAAAAAAUUAAAAUUAAAAUAUUUCUCAGACUCAGCAUCAAAUGAUGACUAGAGAAGCCAUAUACAGAUAAUCUUGAUUAAAAUGCAUGUCAACUAAAUGCAGUCCCAUAAGAAACUUAAAACCACAUUUUCUCUAGAAGCACUAAAUGUUGAAUUUUUUUCCCUCCAAUUACAAUUUACAACUAUGCCAAUUUUUUUUUCCCCCACCGACUAGCGGCUUGAGAAUUCCUAGAUGUGACUCCAUUUUUUUUUUUGUUGAGAAAUUAGGAACCACAAAAUUUGGAGAUUCAAACCCAUGGACAGAAUAUUCCCUAGAUUUCACGAUUAUAACUCGCUAUCUCUCUCUUAGGGGAGAGGAGCAACAUGUACUUGAACCCAGGGCAUGUUGUCUAUCACAAGAGAUUGAUGACCACUGAUCCAAAAGGAGUUAGCCUAUAUUCUAUGUUCUGGGUAUGUAAACAUCAAUGGUAUGUAAGCAGUGAACGAAAAUUCUAGGUUCUAACAAGAACUGCCUUUGCAACUAGCAAACGAAGACAGACACCUUUCCAUUGAUUGACAAAAAGAUAUUCUAUUAGAAAAUAUAUGAAACACAGAAAACUAUUCCACAAUGAAUUACCAAGAGGAAUUUUAUAUCAAAUUACCGCAAGCUGCAAAAUCUCAUUGCGCUUCCUUUCACCACCACUAAAGCCUUCAUUGACAUUUCUGUUAAGGAAGUCAGUCUUCAUGUUCACGAGAUCGAGUUUAGGAUAUAUGUAAGCAUAGAACUGCAAGAGUAAAAUGAUGUAAAUUUUAUAAUCAAUAACAAAAUGAGCAUGACUAUUGUGUUUUCCUUAAAUUUAUGAGCUUCUAAAUUAGAACAGAUAACCAUAUAGAAGUAGCCUAGCCAUAGCAAAUUUUGAUCUUUUUAUAAAAAAUAUUAUUAUUGUUUAAAGAGGGAGAAGAUGAGGAGGAUCUCAACAAUGCACUAGCAAGUUCUUUCAUAAGAGAUGGUGUGGAGAGCAGUUCAUAUACCUCAAGUGGACCAAGCUCUGGCUCACCAAGUUUUUUCCUUCGAGCAUUAUAAGCCAUUUGCAAAAAGUCAAUAUUAUUCACACCCGGGAUCUCAACUGGGGUCUGGAAACUCAUAAAAAGUCCGGCAAGAGACCUCUCCUCCGGCUCCAUGUCAAGCAAAUUCUCUCCCUUAAACACAACACUACCCCCAGUCACCUCAUAAUCAGGGUGCCCAACAAGAACCUACAAUACAUAAGUUUUACCAAGACCUUCCAAUAAACAAUUCAUAAAACAGUCUGAUUUCAUCUAACUAUCUCGACCAAUUUAAACGAAUGUAAGUAGAAUUAGUUUUUAAGAAGACAUAUUUAAUUUAAUGAACAAAAGGCACGCUUUUAGAUAGAUUUGGCAAUCUUAAAUACAAUACGAAAACAAUAAAAAGCAACCCAACCAUACAAAAAAGAUACAAAAGCAACAAAAUUUAAAAUAUUAGCAAAAUCCAAAUAUGGGUUUGGUAAAAACCAAAUAUAUGUUUUAUGUUCGGCGUGUUGACACAAUUUUCGUGUUUUACAUUAAAUGUACACACACAAGAAUACAAGAAUUAUAAGUCUAUUUUUAUAUAUCAAUUUGCGGUGUUUUUAAAUUCCAACAACAGUAUUCCAUAUUAGUAAAUAUUUACACAAGAUAAGGAAAAAGAUUAAAAUUUAAAUACAUGUGCAAAAAAAAUACAAACCUUAGAAAACGUACUCUUCCCAGAGCCAUUCUUCCCCAUUAUAGCAUGAAUCUAACCAACAUAAACAAACCAUUUUUUUUAAAAAUUCUGGGUCUAAUAUAAGAAACUUCAUUCAUACGAGUUAAAGUAUUAGGGAACAAAUUAAUAUGUUGACCUCUCCAUGGUGAACAACGAGGUCGACGCCUUUAAGGAUUUCCUGUUUGGUUUCAGCAAUCACGGCAGUUAAACCUUUGACUUCGAGAAGAGGGGUCUUCGAAUCGCCAAAACCGUUGGUAGAGGUGGGAGAUUCGACGGCGGAUAAAGAAGCGGCGACGGGCCUAGGAGACGGCACGUGAGUAGAGCGGAGACAGGAAGAGAGAACAAGAGGGAGAGGAAAAAACAGAGAAGAGGAAGGCAAAGGUUUUGGGGUAAGGGUCGGAAGAGAAGGGAGUGGUGGUGAAGCAGUGCACUGAAUUUGGCAAGCCAUUGGCAGAUAUAAAAUUAUUGUUUCCUUUUCGUUUUCCUUCUAUUUGAUUUUGUUUUUAAAGAGAGAAAGAAGCCGGUGGAUUUGGAUAUGGGCUUGGACUUUUACAAUGACGAGGAUUUACUCUUGUCCCGCGGCGACUGUAGCUGCUACAACUCGGAUUUCUACCCCCUAGACUUCUAAUAAUAACUUUGGUGAUUAGAUUUGUAAUCUACCAUCUAUAUUUUCGUUUUGGGGUAUUUAUAACCUAUCAUGUAAUUAUGCAAUCCUGAUUCAUAGUCUAAAACACCCAAAAAUACCCACAUAUAUAUAUAACUCAAAGGCCCCCGAAAAUUAAACAAAUUACACAAAAAUUAACAAAGAAACAGUGAAAAUAUUACAAAUAGAAUAUUAGUUCAAAUGGCAUCAUCAAACAAUAUUCACAUACAAUAAGUAGUCGCCUGACCAAUACAAUUCCUUCCACAUCUUAGCAGUGCGUACAAAUAAAUUAAAGCAGUUGAACAUAAUAAAUUACCAUUUGUAGCCACCAAGAUCGAAGGUUUCACAGUAGACCUUCUUGACCUUUAAGUCUCGGGAAAUUAUCACCCAAACGAGCACACAGAAAAGAGAAGAAAAGGAAAACAAAAGAUAAGGAAUAUUAUGUAAUUUGUUGGCUUUAAAUCUUUCCUUUUAUAGAAGAGAUGAAGUCUUUCAUUCUAACCCAUUCUGCCUCAACGGUCUUCUCCUCCUCCUCAGCAACGUUGGCCUUGGCCUCAUACUCUGGCCAUUGCUUUCCCAAUGCUUCCAGCUCCAUUUUCAAUUCCUUGGAAAUUCUAAAAAUUUGCUUCUGCUCAGCCAAGAUAUUCUCUCUAUUCUUUUGUGCCUCAUCAACUUGCUCAUGGAGGGCAGCAAUUUUUUGCUCCACCUGUUUCACUUCUGCCUUGGCCUCUUUGAAUUUGAUUAAACUACGCUCCAGAUCACGGUUAAGGUUCAGCUUGACAGAUUCCUUCUCAGUAAGGAGAUUCCUGUCCUGCACUGCUUUUGCUGCUCGGUCUGGUAGUUCUUUAAAGUUUUCCUCCAUGGCCAACAACUCAUUUUUUUGCUCGAUUGUAAGGGUAGAGGAACAAUCAAAACUAGAUAGGAUCUUGAAUGCUUCAUUAAGUGGAUAAAAUUCCUCUGAAUCAUAAAAAUUAGCAGGGGCCAUAUUCAAGGCUUCCUCUAUUUUGGCCAGAGCUUCCUUUGCUUCUUCUUGAGAAGGCACAGUGUUAGAGCGUGCAAGCUCCGACUCUAAGCUAGUAAAGAAUGUGUCCAUAUCUUCCCCACUAGAGUCUUCAGGUUCAAUGGUCUGAAAUGGAGGAAAAGAAAGUAAUAAUCGAGAUACAUAUAUGCGUAAAUAUUAACAACAUGGAUGAUUUACCUCACUCUGGGAAGCAGUUGGCAAGUUUUGGUUGGUAGAAUUUGCCUUAUCUUGCCCUGGAGGAGAUAGAACAGCAGGAGCUGCAAGAAUAGCUGGUGAAGGAGUUGUGGUUUCUUCUGGUUUUGUUCCUAACGUUUUCUCGUUGUCUAUGGCUGCCUUGCACUUGAGUUUGUCGGAAUCAGCUUCAACCAUAAAUUCGUGUGACCCCCAAUAAAUAGUCCUAUUCCUAUCAGUGGAAAUAUCGGCUUCAAUUAAGCAUGCAUCAUCCACGAGGUAGCCUCUUUUAGGGUCGUGCAAGUCUCUGAGAGGUAAGAAUGAAGUGAAGCCCCAAUCAUUCUCCCUGGCGUUAAACUCAUGGUGAGUGUCUGCCAAAAGCAGGAGUGUCAGUAAAUACUAACCACUUUGAGUUGAUGAUAAAAUUCUAAGAAAGAAAAAGGCAUGGAUAAUUUAUUUGGCAUGUGGUAAUUGCCUGUUUUGACCGUGCCAAAGCCUCAAAAAGAAGCCCAGCCUUCAUGCAUUUACCAGUUACCACCUAAGGCAGGGCCUAGGGGCACAUAAAAUAUAUAUAUUCAUCCCCAAACAGGAAGUACAAAAUGGCCAAAAUAGAAUAAGAUAGGAACCAUUAGCCAAGGAAUACGAAUUACAAAAGCAAAAAGAAGCUGAACAAAGAAUGAAAAGAGAUUUAAUCAGGAAAACCUAGUAAUGCAAAAUGAGAAAAAACAGGACACAGCACAGAAUGGCUCUUCUCUUUCCAAAAUUAGAAGACGCGCAUAUUCAUUACAAAGAUAUAUGAUCAAAGUAAAAAGGCCCCAAGUAAAGUAAUGUACUAUAAAGCCAAUAUUUAAUAUAAGAUCAAGGGAAACAUACUGUGGAAGACAAACAACAGGCAAAAUAUUUUUUUCCCCUCAGUGAAACCUUUCAUUUCUAGUUUUCUAGCUAUCCGUAUCUAUAUAUAUACUACGAUCAUGUCUUAUAUAUAAGAUUAUUGAUAGGAUAAAAUGAUAAUUAUUUUAUAUUAUAUUUGAUUUGUAUUUAAAGAGAGGGAUAUGGAUUGUAAGAAGGAUUAAUAUCCUCAUGGCAUAGAAUUAUUCAAUCUUCCCUAAAUGAAAAAUAUUAUUUUUAAUUUAUAUAAUUAAACUUACAUAUCCAAUUGUACUCUUAAAAAUUAUAUUAGUAAUUUUAAUUAUAUAAAUUUUGAGGAAAGAUAAUUUUGACAAAUAAAUAAAUUAUCUUAUCUUAAUCUUUACAUACAUCAAACACAAAAUAAAAUGAUAUCAUUUAAUCUAAUCCUAUUCAUAAUAUUAUCUUAUCAUAUUCUAUCAUAAUUUUGUAUACCAAACAUGACUUAUAUGUAAAAGUGUAAAUUGAGUGGAUGGGCACAUAGAGUAGAAUUUGAGUUAGAUCAUUUCAGAUCAUGUCAUUUUGGAUUUGAAUCUUUUGAAUUUGACACUCAUUAUUUGAGUUUAGGUAAUUGAUUUUGGGUUAUUUCGAGUCCAAAUUAUUAAGUUUUAAAAUUAAAUUUAUUUAAUUUUGAGUUAGGCUUUCGAGUUGUUUGAUUUCAAUUAUUUUAUAAUCAUGUUUUAUUUGAAUUCAAGUCAUUUCACUUUUGAGUUAGAUGGAUUUGAAUUAUUAAUUUUUUUUUUCAAAACAAGUUAGAGUUCGAGUUUGGGCAAAUUGUAAGGGUUUUUUAGAUUCAGUUCAAUUUUGAUAGCUCUAACUGUAUGUAAAUGUGGAUUAAAGGUUGUGAAACUUAAAAAAAAAAAAAAAAACCUAACUAUCUUUUGCUUUCAUUCAAAUUUAAACUAUGUCCAUUUUUAUAUCAUUGGAAAUAAAAUUUAUAAUAUUUUAUUUAUUCAUAGAGGUUUUAUCCUCAAUAAUAGGGAUGACAAUAAAUUCAAUCCGUUUAUGUUGAAUUCGGAUUGUUAUAAAUGGAUAAUAACAGAUUUAAUAAAAGUUUAUUAUCUGUGACGAAUUAAAGCAGAUAAGAAUAAUAUUUCCUAAAUAUUCAAUAUCCGAAUCUAUUUAAAUUUUAAUAAAUAAUAAUAAAUAUCCGAAUUUAUUACUCAUUUAUAUAUAUAAUAUACAAAAUUUUAUACUUGUAGAAAGUUUUGGAUUUUAAAAAAUAAUUUUAUUUAUUAUUAAUUAAAAGUGAAUUUGAAUUUUAAAUUAAAUUUUUAUUUAUUUUAUAUUUUAAUAAAAAAAUUAAAUAAAUAUAUAUUUUGAUGCAAUCAAACAUUUAAAUGGAUAGUACUUAUUUAAUUAAAUUCAAUUUGAAUAAUGAUAUUAAACUUAAAUGGAUAUUUAAACGGAUUCAAAUAUUAUAAAUAUUAAAUAGAUUCAGAUAUGAAUAUCUCAAACAUAAUAGAUAUCAAUUCCGUUACCAUUUCUACUCAAUAAAUAGCAUCCAAGAAUUAAAAGUUAUUAAAAACACAUAUAAAAAGUAAUUAACUUAAAAAUUAGUAAAUCUCAUUAAAUAAUUAGUUAAAAGAUUUUAACUAAAAAUAUUUCUCCUAUUAUUUCAAUUGGAUGUUGCAAAAUAAUAUUCAUUUUCCAAAACAAAAACAGUUUUUCAAUAUUAUAUUUGUUGAAAUACUAAAAUAGUAUUUGGUUUUGGAAAACAAAGACAGUUUCUAUUUUUAUUUUAUUGAAACAUGAAAAGUAAAAGUAAAUAUGUAUUUGGUAAUGAAAAAUAAAAAUAUAUUUAAAAAAAAAAGAAUGAAAAUAGAGUCAAAUAUGAAAACAAAAAAAAAAUUUUAAUUAUGAAAAUAAAAAAUUUUUACUUAUGUUUCUACUUAUGUUUAGAACAUUAAGAAGUUGAUUGAUACUUGAAUAUUUUUUAAAGUUAUUGUUAAUAAAGGAGUAGAUCAACUUACUCUGCUGUAAAUUAUUUUAGUCUUAUAUUUUUUUUAAUAGUUGAUUUUAAUAAAUUUAAAAAAUUAGAGAAACUAGAUAAAAAAAAGAUUUAAUUUCAUUCUUUGGAUCCAUUAAAAUCAAUGAUUAAAAAAAUAUAUAAUUUUUUUUUAGUGUAAAUUGAUUCCUCUCCGUUAAUAAAUAUAUAUUAUAUAUUUAUAAUUAAAUAUCAUUAAUAAUAAUUAUUUCCAUAAUUACUUAUUUUUCUUUCGUAUUUUUAUAAAACAAUUUUUUAUUUCAUUCACCAAAUAUAUUUUUUAGAAAAGAAAAGAUAGAAAAACAAAAACUAUUUUUAAAAAAUAAAAAAAAAUAAAACAAAAAAUAUUUUUUCAACGAAAUAGAGUCUAAACUUUGUUUUUACAACUUUUAAAGAUAAUAUUUUAAAAUCAAGAACAAAAUACCUCAUCCCUAAAACUUUGUACCAUUUGAAAAAUGGACAUUGAAUUUGAAAUGGAUAGAGUAAUAGAUUUCGAAAUUUAUUGAAUGCUCAAUUUUUGAGUCGAGAAGAAGUAAGAUCAUGACAAUAUAUUUAAGUGGUAGAGUAAAAUACCUUUUGCAUUCGAACUUUUACGAUCGAUUUGGUUGACGACAGCUAAUCUGAACUGCGCAUAUCUACUCCAUCCGUAAGGCAAAGUUGCUGAAUCUGCAACAUCUACAUAAAUUGAUAAAGAAUCCACACGGUUCCCCUUGGGAAAGAUAAGAAGUCGCCUGUCAAAUUAUAAUUGCACAUCUAAUCAUUGAUAGAUAAAAAAAAAAAAAAGGAAAGUAAAAUAUAACCAACAAAAGUAGAUCAAAAUUACCAUCGAGUGUCGCCGACAUCGAAAUUUUUGGAGUAGAGCUUCUCGUCGGCAAUUCUCGAGAAAUUCUCGAUCCUCCAUGUGAAUUUCCUCAGUUGUCGAUUAAUAUCCAUAGACUGACUAUCCACUGCACUUGAAAAAGUUUAAAAAGAAAAAAUUAAUUCAAAGGCUUAGUUUUCUUUCCAUUAACAAAGAAAGUGGAAAGGCAAAAGAAAACGGAGCAUUAACAAAGGAGGGAAAACGGAGGACAAGGAUUAAAAGGUAAAGCUAUGUUUAUGGAUACCUUUAUCCAUUAGCAGAUGAUCUGUGCUAAUAAAAGAUGCUAUCUAAGUCUUCUCUGACUUAGAUAUUUCUUGGUCUUUUCUUUCUUUCUUUUUUUAAUAUUACUUAAAACUACUUAGCCUUUAAGCUAACUUUUUUUGACUUUUUGCUUUUAAAUCGUGUAUUAAAUUCAGCGAUGAUAAUUUAAAAUACAUUUAAUAACACAAAAAGGAUAAAAUUAAAUGAAGAGAAUAUAAAUUAAAAUUUUAAUAAAAAUAAAAAAUAUAUUUUUAUUUUUUUAUUAAUAUAAAUUAUAAUAUAUAAUUUUUAUAUAAAAUAUCAUAUCAAUAUAUAAAUUAUUAAUAUUUUGCAUAAUAUAAAUUAUUAAAUUAUUAAAUUUAAUUAAAGUAUUAGAAGCUUUGAAAAAUAAAAACAAAAGAAAAUAACGAGAGAAGAAAAUAGCAAAAUAUGAAAGAGCUUUUUUUUUUUUUUGGCCAAGAAGAUAUGAAAGGGCAAUAAUAAUCCCUGUAGCACAAAAAAUUAUAAUUCCUUUUAUUCCUUCAAAAUAAGUACCAUAAAAAUGCUUUAAAAAAUGAGUAAUUUUCUAUUCAUUGAUAUACAAAUUUUAAACUCAAAAAAAAAGUUUAAGAGUUGACAAAUAUUUUUUUUAUGGAAUUAUAAGUAUAAGUUAUAAAUUACAAUCAACUAUGAUAUUAAUAUAUAAAAAAAAUUUGAAUAAUCAAACAAAUAAAUUAAUAAAUUAGAAUAUAACUAAACAAAUUUAACAUUAAAUUGAAUCAAAUUUACAUAUAGUAUGACUUAAACUUAGGACUUCAUAAUUUUAAGGCUUCUUCAUUUCUAUUAAGGGGGUGUUUAGUUUACGAAUUUUUAGAUUUCAAGAGAAAAAAUGAUAGUAAAAAAGAAUGUAUAAUUCCUAAAUUAUGUGAUUCAUAGGUUUUGUUAACUUAGGGGAUGUAAAAUUUUUAUGUUUAAUUUACAAGAAUAUAAGAUUAACUAAUAAAGUUUUUUGUUUUAUUAUCUUCUAUAACAAGUGAAUAACAUAUGAUAUUUAUAAUACUAACACAUGAAUAAUGUGUUGUUUUUGUUGAAACUAAAUGAUUCUAAUAAAUAAUUUUUUAUAUUUUAAACAAAUAUAAUUUUAUAAUUCUAAUUACUAUUCUAAUGUUAUUUGGCUUUGUGGUAAAGUAGACAUAAGGGUUGAAAGAAAAUGGUAAUCCUCCAUCUCUCGAGCGUUUCCAAGGGCUCUAUUCUUAGAAUAAAUUUUAUAUGUAAUAAUAUUAAGUAAAACAUUUUAUAAUUUUUUUAUAUUUUCAAUAAAAAUUAUAUUUUUAUCGUAGAAGUAUUGCUUUUUUUUUAUAAAAAUUAUAUUUUUUAUCUUAAAAAUGUCUUUUUUUUUAAUUUUGAAUUUUUUUGUCAUAUUUUCAACAAAUUAUGCAUUUUUAUCUUAUAAACAUCAUAUUUUCAACAAAAAAUGCAUUUUUAUUUUUAAAAAAGUCACUUUUGUUGAAUUUUAAAAAAUAUUUUUUUAUAUUUUUAACAAAUAUUACGUUUUUAUUUUAGAUAUAUUGUAUUUUCAAUAAAAGACUACAUUUUUAUAUUAAAAACAUCAUAUUUGUUAAAUUCUAAAAAAUAAUUUUUUUCAUUAAAGAUCGUAUUUUAAUCAUAAGUUUUAUGAAGAUUUUCAAUAAUACUGUGUUAAAACGUAAUUUUUGUUUUAAAUAUAUUUUAUAAAAAAUUAUUUUCAUAAUUUUUUAUAAAAAAGUUAUUAAAUUUAUAAGAUAAAAAACGUUAUUUAUAUAAUUUGAAAAUAUAAUUAAAGAUCAAUGGAAAAAUUUUUCACUUUUCUUUCGAAAUCUUAAAAAAUCUCAAGGAAAUUAGAGUUUUUUAUUUAUUCUUACUUUUCUCAAUUUUUGAUAUCAUUGAAAAUCUUAAAAAAAACUAAACAAUCACAUUCUUAUAAAUAAAACAAAUUACAAAAAAUAAGAUUUAUGAAAAGAAAGUUACUUUCCCCUUAACCAAACAUUCCUUUUAAAAAUUUUAACUUUCUCUCCUAGAAUUUUACAUAAUUUGAUUUUUUAAUUUGGUUGAAAAUAUUUUCCCGUGUCAAGAAUCUUGUAAUCAUAAUAAUGUAAAAAAAAAAGGAAAAAGUAGGAAAAAUAAAAACUCUCAUUUUCUUUAAGGGUUUUUUAGAUUUCAAAGGAAAAGUGAAAAUUUUUUUUUCAUUUGCCUUAAUUUAAUUAUAUUUUCAUAUUAUAUUAUUCUUUCUAGCCUUUUAAAAUUACAAAAAUAAAUAUGACUUUUGUUAUUAUAAUUUCAAAAAAUACAACAUUUUAAGAUUAAAAACUUAAUUUUUGUUAAAACUAUAUUUUUAUAAUUUUGAUAAGGAUUAUAUUUUUAAAAUAAAAAAUAUGAUCUUUGUUAAAAUUAGAGGUGUAAAUGAGAUAUAUGUGCUUCUAAACUAUUUAGGCUUGACUUAAAAAAAUCAAAUUCGAUUCAUUUUUUGUUAAACUAAGUUCAAACUUGAAUAAUUAAAAUUAUUGAGUGGAUCGAGUUUAUAUAUUUUAAUAUUCGAACAAUUCGUAAAAUUAAUAAAAUUUUUAAUUUAAAUAUAUUUUUAUUAUUUAAUUAAUAAUUUAUUGUUUUAUCUUUAAUAUACCUAAUGAAGCUUUUUAUUUAAAUAUAUUUAUUAUUUUAAUUAUAAUUACUAUUUUACCCUUAAUAUCUCUUAUCUGAAAAACCCUGAAUCAUUUUCAAACUAGUUUUUCUCUCGUUCCCACAUCCCACCAGAACCAUUACAGUGCCUGUAACUCUUAUUCUCCCGCGAUCCUUUUCGAUGCCAGCGUAGCAGCCAGCACCCUUCCUACGCCGGCUUAGUCUCUCUCAUUACCCUUGUCCCACGCCGGCUUUGUCUCUCUCAUCGUCGAAGGUCAUAACUGACAAAAAAUAACAAAAGCAAGGGUAGUUAGUAUAAAACAAAGUUCCAAGGAUUCCACCUUCUGAAAAUUGAAAAGCUAUAAAAAAAUAAAUGCUAGGGAAAGUGUUUUAAUCCAAACAAAAUCGCUUUCUCCAUUGUUUUUUUAAUAUUCACUGCUCAUUUUAUUUCUCAAAAAGAAUUCGAAAAACAAACACUUUGUUUCUAAGUUUUUCGCUCUGUUUUUCAAAUUCUUCUUCUUAAUCAAGCUUUGUAGCUCUGACUCGGAGGUAAUCUUUGAUUAACAACUGAUUUUUUUUUUCUAAUAACUCAACUACUGAUCCAAUGCAGGUGAACUAGCAUAGCAUAAAGUCCUUGAAUGAGAUGCGAUCCCCAGUUGGUCGCUGAUACUGUCAAGUGUACACUAUUUUUGUAAUUUUCAAUUGUUUUGUGCAAUUUGAUGGUUGAGGUGGUGAGGUGGCUACUGUUGUUUGGUAAGAUGAGCUAUGGAAAUGGAAAUGGUGAGGAUUAAUUUUUUGUUAUGUGGACAAUCCCACUUAAUAAAGAGCAAAAAAAAAAAAAAAGGAAAAAGAAAAAGGCAAGACACCAACAAUAUGUGGGAAUAGUAAAAUAAAUAUAUUCCCUUUGCGUUCACCAUUUAUAAUAAAAAAAUUGUAAUUAUUAUUUCCAUUUAGUUCAUUGGGAUUCAAAGUCAAUUUAGAUUUAAAUCAUUUCAGAGUAUGAUCAAUUCAUUUUUAGAUUCUUUUGAUAUUAUAUUAUUUUAAUUUCGAGUUAUUCAAAUUUAAUCAAAUCAUUUGAAUUUAGAUAGUUUGGAUUUAGUAUUAAGGUUAUUUAAGUUUAUUUUAUUAAUUUCUAAAUUCAAAUAAAUACAAUUAAAUUAUAUUAAUAAUUAAAAUAUUAAAAUUAAAUGAAUUAAAAGUCAUUUGUUAAUAACAUAAAAUUAAUUUUAUUCAUAAUAAAAAAUUAAUUUUGGUUAUGAGUUGUGUCAUGUAUAUUGAUUUUAUUUUGUGUAAUUCUUGAGAUAUUUUGAGUGUUAAAGAAUUUGAGUUAAGUUUUAUUUUUUUUAGUUUGUAGAUUAUGGGCAAGUAAUGAUAAUUUUCUAUUUUAAUUUGAUGGUCUUAUGUGUUAUAAUUAGGUUUAUUAACUUAUUAUUGAUUUUUUAAGUUUAUGAUUUUUUUUAAUGUGAUUAUUUAUCUAUUUCAUUUUUUUAUUAUAUUGUUAGAGUGAAAAAAUAAGAACUUUUUUUCAAUUUUUCGAACAUAAUUAAGAAAAAUAAUUGUAGACAAAAGAUUUUGAAAAGAUAGUUUAAGUUAUUACAUGAAUUAAUAUUUAUAUUAUAUUUAUUAUCUUAAUUAUUUAAUAAAAAUAAAUAAUCUUUAAUUUAAUACUUAAUCACUUCACAUAAUUUACGUUAUUUUAAGUUUAAAAUAAUUUAAAUUCAAAUUAUUUUAAAACUACAAUUUUCAGAUUAUGACAACUAGAAACAGGGCAAUGGAAUUGUAGCUCCAAUUGGACUUUAAUCAUUUCUGUGAAACUAUCACUUUAAUCAAAUAAUCAGAUUACAAAAAUGGAUCACACUUGCUAAAGCAUUGAAUAAUGGAUAUGGUCAACAAUAAUCAUAUAGUAACAAAUUCUGAGAUCACCGAGUGGGAAAAGGGGGGACAACCCUCAAGUUCACAUGCCAAGGCAAAAGGUUAACUAUGAAACAAAAACCCUUUAAUGCACCAUUGCCGGCACCUAAGGGGUCCAUGCUCCCUUAGGAUGACGGUGGAAUCUGAUUGACUAUAGAGAUCUUCUAGCAUCAAUU
rnacentral:lncRNA from 1 species